rnacentral:lncRNA from 1 species
UGGAGCCUUUAUCCUCAUUCUGCCUAGGUACAGAUACGUGAAGUCUUGUGAUGAGCUUUGCUAGAAGGCAUCAACUGAAAUCUUCAGGAAGGCGUCUGCUGCUACUAGCUGUGAGAAGUGACAGUGCCUGUGAGUGCACAGUGCAUCAUCUGCAGUUGUAAAUUGUGACAGGUUCCACUGCCUGGUGUGUCAGACUUGAUGACAUGUAAGAAGAGACAACUGUAGAAGAUGACGAACCUGCCAAAAAGAAGAAAAAGAAAAAGGAUAAGGAAAAGCAAGUUGAAGAGGAGGAGGUACUGAAUGAGGAACCCCCUACCAGCCCCACGGUUGAGAAUACAGAGAAAAAGAAGAAGAAAAAGAAGAAAACAAAAGAUGAGGAUGAAGACUAAGGAGCAGGAAGGAACAUUGUCCCUUGGACAGUUGCUUCAGAGUAGCAUUUCUUGACAUAAUUUCUUUAGCCUCCUGCUGAAAACUGUAACUUCCCUAUAUUGCAAGAGGGCAAGGAGAUGAAUUUGAUAGCUGUCCUCUGCCCUGGAGCAGAAUACCCCAGUGUCUCUGCUACUUAGGUGGAUUGCUGGUUUUUUGCAGUUUCUUUUCUUGAAAAGAUCACACUAGGUCCUCUUUUCAUAUGCAGUCUCCACUGAUAAGGAAUAAAAACAUUUUUAUGGAGAUUUUAUGCCUCUGUCUUUUAACUUGUUUGCUAGUUUUCUAACCACUAUCAGGUCUAUUUC